rnacentral:lncRNA from 1 species
AGAAUCCAAAAUCUAAAAUUCAGGAAGCCUCUAAACGGGGCAGAUUUUAGCCUGGAUUCUAGAAGUCAGAUUUCGGAUUCGAAGAAUCCCAUAAUCUGCUGAAACGUUGCUUCUGAUAGAUUUUGUGCAUGUAUUUUACAAUUUUGCCCCUUAUCCUUUCAGAAAAUGAUCCAAUCCCCACUCUUCCCCUUCCUUCCCACACAGCCAAUCUGCUUUUAAUCCGCUUCUAUCGCAAGAUAGGUACGAAUC